GGUCAGGAGGGGCGUCGUGAGGGCGGACCCUAGGGCGGGGCGAGGAUGAGCGUUAUGAGGGCGAGGCCCGCAGUAGGGCCAGGAUGAGCGUCAUGAGGGCGAGGCCUGGGGUAGGGCCAGGAUAAGCGUCGUUGGGGCAGGUCCUGGGGAGAGUCCAGGUUGGCGGGUCCUGGGGCGGGGCCGGGGUAGGGCUAUGCUGGAAGCCGGGCUUCGGAAGCGUCCAGAUAGUGUCUCUCUCUCUGCCACCCAGGCCAGAGUGCAGUUGAUGCAGGGCAGGGGAGCCCCGAAGUGGAGCAUAGUGUGUCCAGAACUGGUGGGUUCUUGGUAUCACUGACUUCAAGAAUGAAGCCGCAGACCCUUGCGAGACAGGGUUUCACCAUGUUGGCCAGGCUGGUCUCGAGCUCCUGACCUCGUGAUCCACCCGCUUUGGCCUCCCAAAGUGCUGGGAUUACAGGCAUGAGCCACCGUACCCAGCUACUCUUGAUUAACUUACUGGAAAUAUUUACAGAGAUUCUUUCUCUUCUGGGUUCUAGCGUCUUAUCUGUAACCUCUGCAGGCGCAGGAAUGAGAGGCAGCAGCUGGGGAAGCCAGGGACUCCGGCAGUCCUUGUCUCUGGGAGGUGAUCCAGAGAGAGAGAGAGAGCACGAUUGUCUCAGCACUGGGUCUUCCUCUGAGUCUUGAAGGAGCACUUCCAGAGCGUCUCGGUGUUAAACAUCAUGUUGUGAAUGACUGCGUGAGCUCUGACCCAGUGACCUUGGGGAUAAAGGAGGGGAGGUACAGAUAAGCUCUUCGAAUGGAUGUUACCGGGGUGUCAGUUGUCUUUGAGGGCACAGGCUAUGUGUCACCAAAGAAAGAGCUCAGUGCCUUUUCUCAUUGCUCAAGAGAUUGAAGGGGUAGGAAGAAAAGAUGUUAAGUUAUAAACAUGUUUCAGUUUUGGUACCACUUGAAGCAAUUUACGUUUUGAAGAGGAAAGAGUCUUGCCUACAAAGUCAGCCCCCGGGUUUUCCUUCUGCUUAUGGAAUCCAGGCAGUGGGCAAAGAAAAAAAGAAAACUAAGGAAUCAGCCAGGUGCAGUGGCUCAUGCUUGUAAUUUUGGAACUUUGGGAGGCUGAGGCAAGUGGACUUCUUGAGUCCAGGAGUUCAAGACCAGCCUGUCCCACACAGUGAGACCCCGUUUCUACAAAAAAUACAAAAAGUUGCUGAGCAUGGUGGCAUGCACCUGUAGUCCCAGUUACUUAGGAGGCUGAGGUGGGAGAACUAGUUCAGCCCAGGAGAUUGAGGCUGCAGUGAGCCAUGAUUGUGCCACUAUACUCCAGCCUGGGUGACAGAGUGAGGCCCUGUCUCAAAAGAAAACGAAAAAGAUGAGAAAAAGAAAACUAGGGAAUCUGGACAGAAUAAGUUUAUAUAUAUAAUAAAGAACUGAGAUAGAA